rnacentral:rRNA from 1 species
GUUUAUGGCCAUGUCACCCUGAACAAGCCUGUCUGAUCUUGGGAAGCUAAGCAGGGUCAGGCCUGGUUAGUACUUGGAUGGGAGACCACCUAGGAAGACUAGGUUCCAUAGGCA